UUUAGUGGCACUCCUCCAUCUCUCUGGGAGAUCCAACACUUGAGGGCUUAUGAGCCGUUUCAGUAUGAAUGAAAGGGAGAAGAACAGAACAGAGGCUAUAAAGCAUGGCUUCAGCAUCUGCUUCUGCUGAGAGCCUCAGAAAGCUUCCGGCUAUGGCAGAAAGUGAAGGUCAGCAAGCAUCACAUGAAUUACAAAUCUAGUUUAGCCCAGGACCAGAUGGAUUCACAGCCGAAUUCUACCACAAAUUCAAAGAAGAGCUGGUACCAUUCCUUCUGAAAAUAUUCCAAACAAUUGAAAAGGGGGGACUCCUCCCUAACUCAUUUUAUGAAGCCAGCAUCAUCCUGAUACCAAAACCGGGAAGAGACACAACAAAUAAGAAAACUUCAGGCCAAUAUCCUUGAUGAACAUUGAUGAGAAAAUCCUCAAUAAAAAACUGGCAAACCGAAUCCAGCAGCCCAUCAAAAAACUUAUCCACCACAAUCAAGUUGGCUUCAUCCCUGGGAUGCAAGGCUGGUUAAACAUAUGCAAAUCAAUAAACAUAAUUCAUCAUAUAAACAGAACCAAAGACAAAAACCACAGGAUUAUCUUAAUAGAUGCAGAAAAGGCCUUUGAUACAAUUCGACAUUCCUUCAUGUUAAAAACUCUCAAUAAACUAGGCAUUGAUGGAACACAUUUCAAAAUAAUAAGAGCUGCUUAUGACAAACCCAGAACCAAUAUCAUAUUGAAUAGGCAAAAGCUGAAAUCAUUCCCUUUGAAAACCAGCACAAGACAAGGAUGCCCUCUCUCACCGCUCCUAUUCAACAUAUUAUUGGAAGUUCUGGGCAAGAGAAAGAAAUAGAGUAUUCAAAUAGGAAGAGAGGAAGUCAUGUUGCAUCUGUUUGCAGGUGACAUGAUAUUAUAUUUAGAAAACCCCAUCAUCUCAGCCAGAAAACUUCUUGAAAUGAUAAGCAACUUCAGCAAAGUCUCAGGAUGCAAAAUCAACGUGCAAAAAUCACAAGCAUUCUCUUACACCAACAAUAGGCAAGCAGAAAGCCAAAUCACGAAUGAACUCCCAUUCACAAUCCCUACAAAGAGAAUAAAAUACCUAGGAAUAGAGCUAACAAGGAAUGUGAAGGACCUCUUCAAGAAGAACUACAAACCACUGCUCAAGGAAAUAAGAGAAGGCACAAACAAAUGGAAAAACAUUCCACCCUCAUGGACAGGAAGAAUCAAUAUCAUGAAAAUGGUUAUACUGGCCAAAGUAAUUUAUAGAUUCAAUGCAAUUCUCAUCAAACUACCACUGACAUUCUUCACAGAAUUAGACAAAAACUAUUUUAACUUUCAUGUGGAAUCAAAGAAGACCCGUAUAGCCAAGGCGAUCCUAAACAAAAAGAACAAAGCAGGAGGCAUCACACUACCUGACUUCAAACUAUACUACAAUGCUACAGUAGCCAAAACAGCAUGGUACUGGUACCAAAACAGACAUAUGGACCAAUGGAGCAGAACAGAGACCUCAGAAAGAACACCACACAUCUACAACCAUCUGAUCUUUGAUAAACCUGACAAAAACAAGCAAUGGGGAAAGGAUCUCCUAUUCAGAAAAUGGUGCUGGGAAAACUGGCUAGUCAUAUGCAGAAAACUGAAACUGGACCCGUUCCUUACACCUUGUACAAAAAUUAACUCAAGAUAGAUUAAAGACUUAAAUGUAAAACCCAAAACCAUAAAAACCCUACAAGAAAACCUAGGCAAUACCAUUCAGGAUGUAGGCAUGGGCAAAGACUUCAUGACACAAACACCAAAAACAAUUGCAACAAAAGCCAAAAUUGACAAAUGGAAUCUAAUUAAACUAAAGAGCUUCUGCACAGCAAAAGGAACUAGCAUCAGAGAGAACAGGCAACAUACAGAAUGGGAGAAAUUUUUUGCAAUCUACCCACCUGAUGAAGGUCUAAUAUCCAGAAUUUACAAGGAACUUAAACA